CAUCAGCGAGUUCACUCUCGCUGCCUGGAUUUCACAGUGGGCACCGCUCUCUGUCCUUUUUCUAGAGAGCGCAGCUCGGCGGACACCCUUGGAACUCGCAAGGUGCUCAAGCCAGCAUAUAUAGCCUCUCCCCCAGUUUUUCCCUAUCACAAUUCUGUGGAAGGUAACUGUUUUAAAAUGUUGCAAUAUGAGACAAGGAAAGAAACCACUGCGUAAUGGUGGCAGAAGAAGAAAUAAAUAACCAGCAGGAUUUGAUGACAGCUUUGAUAACAGAUAGCAGAGAAAGAAAAAAGAUCUUAAAACUGCAUACACACAUAUUUUUAUGUACAUGAAAGGGAAUUAAAAUAUAUAUUUGGAAAUAUAUAUUUCAUGACUAAAAUAGAUAUUUUGAAAAACUACCAAAUUAUUCAAGCGUCAAGGAGAGAAAAUGGAUUGCCAACAUAUACUGUUGUUUAUUUUCCUGUCUUGUAUCUUUCCUAUCUUUUAAAGAAGAAGCAAGCACUAUAGAAUUUCCUGUUGAUGGAAGGCUAUAUUAGUAAAUUAUUAUUUUCUUUCAUCAAUUAUUUUAAAGACAUAACUGAGGUCAGUUUUUUUUUUGUGCUGUUUGUUCUGUGUUAUUCUGAAUUCUGAUUUAUCAUCCCUUGAUAAUUAUUGGUUAACUAUGUGUUAUUAAAUUUAUAAAAUAUGUCAUUGCC